rnacentral:lncRNA from 1 species
UCUGUUUACAGCUUCUGUUUACAGAGCUAGUUAGUGUUAGCUAUCUUGUGUAAGUAACUGUAACUGGUUGAGUCUGCGUUUUACUGAUACCUUAAAUAAACACUAGGGAAGCACGGUUUGACAAGGCAGCUCAACUUGACAGAACACGGGUCAAAGCAGGCGCCGUUCACAUCGGAUUUUAUAAUAUAGAGCGAACUCUGGGGCUUCGACGUGGUGAAACUGCCCAGCACCGAUUCACCAAGACUGAGGCAAACAAGAACCCCCGGACCCUCUCCCUCCCUGCAGGUGGAUCCGUCCUACCAGAAGAAGAAGCCCCGGUCCCCUUGCCUCCCUUUUACCCCUCAGACCCUCCACACAGCAGGACUGAGAGGUAAGUACAUUUAAUAAAUGGUGAUGGGCUACCUUUCCA